rnacentral:rRNA from 1 species
UAGCAUAUCAAUAAGCGGAGGAAAAGAAACUAACAAGGAUUCCCCUAGUAGCGGCGAGCGAAGCGGGAAGAGCUCAAAUUUAUAAUCUGGCACCUUCGGUGUCCGAGUUGUAAUCUCUAGAAAUGUUUUCCGCGUUGGACCGCACACAAGUCUGUUGGAAUACAGCGGCAUAGUGGUGAGACCCCCGUAUAUGGUGCGGACGCCCAGCGCUUUGUGAUACAUUUUCGAAGAGUCGAGUUGUUUGGGAAUGCAGCUCAAAUUGGGUGGUAAAUUCCAUCUAAAGCUAAAUAUUGGCGAGAGACCGAUAGCGAACAAGUACCGUGAGGGAAAGAUGAAAAGCACUUUGGAAAGAGAGUUAACAGUACGUGAAAUUGUUGGAAGGGAAACGCUUGAAGUCAGACUUGCUUGCCGAGCAAUCGGUUUGCAGGCCAGCAUCAGUUUUCCGGGAUGGAUAAUGGUAGAGAGAAGGUAGCAGUUUCGGCUGUGUUAUAGCUCUCUGCUGGAUACAUCUUGGGGGACUGAGGAACGCAGUGUGCCUUUGGCGGGGGUUUCGACCUCUUCACACUUAGGAUGCUGGUGGAAUGGCUUUAAACGACCCGUCUUGAAACACGGACCAAGGAGUCUAACAUGCUUGCGAGUAUUUGGGUGUCAAACCCGGAUGCGUAAUGAAAGUGAAUGGAGGUGGGAACCGCAAGGUGCACCAUCGACCGAUCUGGAUUUUUAAUGAUGGAUUUGAGUAAGAGCACGUAUGUUGGGACCCGAAAGAUGGUGAACUAUGCCUGAAUAGGGCGAAGCCAGAGGAAACUCUGGUGGAGGCUCGUAGCGGUUCUGACGUGCAAAUCGAUCGUCAAAUUUGGGUAUAGGGGCGAAAGACUAAUCGAACCAUCUAGUAGCUGGUUCCUGC